GGUCCUGUAGCGGAGUGGUAACCGCGAUGUUCUUAUAUAUCUCGCACUUGAGAAGUUAUGCAUAGGUCGUGAGUUCGAACCUCACCAGGACCA